CUGACUGCAGGUAUGAUCCACACUUUGAAACACCACGGGUUGCCACGCCAGGCUUGUGGCCAUUUAUUUAGUCAUGUUUUGGUCAACCACCUGUUUCUUUUUUUUUUUUAAGUCGUAACUUCAUUAGUGAAGGAGUUCAUUUGAGCUUGUUUGUACAUUGGACAUUUGGUUAAAAGGACAACCUCUCCCCAAUAAAGCAAAACCUACACUUUGAGAUUAAUGCUGAAAGAUGACGAAUGUAGAGAGAAUAAGAGAGAUUCCAUCCAUUGGUUCACUCCCCCAGAUGCCUGCAACAGCUGGGGCUGGACCAGACUGAAGUUAGGAGCCAGGAACUCCAUCUGGGUCUCCCAUAGGGGUGCAGGAACCCCAGUACUUGGGCCAUCAUCUACUGCCUCCCAGGCAUGUUAGCAGGAAGCUGGAUCAGAGCAGAGUCUGGUUGCCUCUCUCCCUAUCCACCGCCUUUCAGCUGUGCUGCCGUCUCGAAACCCUUCCAGGACAGAUGCACCUGCACCAGGUGUGGGUGGCCCGGGGUCCGGGUGAUCCCUGAGAGUCAGAGCAGAAGUGGUCACAAGCCAGGGCUUGAGGUCUGGAUGAAGCUGGAAAUGCGAGCUCCCCGGUGGCCUCAUCAAGGUGAGACUGAGCUGAGAUGUGCUCAGGGAGAAAGAGAACGGAGACAACACCCGGUGAGGUCACUGUUGGCAGAUCCAGGCAAACAUGCUCUCAACUCCUUGGGUAUACAAAACCAGUGCAACCUACUCUCAUUGACACUGUAGCCACUGGAACAAGCAGUGUCCAGGAAUUUUCAUGUCUUGGGCGAGUCCAGGAUUUACAAAGAAGCUUGGCAACCAAUUCUGUGUCACAAGAUUCCCUCGUCUCAUGUUUCUGGUAAACAUUUGGACAUUGUGUUGAAUUUUCUCGAAUUUCUUCCAUCUGGAAAAGUAGAGCAUUUUACGAGACAACCGCAACCACCUUGUCUACCUUCAAACGCUGAACGUCGGACUGCUGCUCACAGGAAAAAAGCAUAGCACAUCCAUCCACACAAGUGAAGGUAGCUGCCUCACCCACGUGGUACAGGUCGGGAAAUUGAGAUGCAGGUGGACAAAACUACCUUCUUGGAUAGCAAGGUAGUCGUGGGAGAAUCUGGACUCCAUCUCAAGUUUCCUGCCGUGGCUACGCUUCUGCCACUGCUGGGCUGCUGCUCCCUUCGAUGGUGGCUGCGAGGACCAGGCAUGGCAAUGUCCACGAGUGAGCUUGGGAAACAGGAAUAUCACUGAUCUCGAUCAUCAUGGAUGUGCCGUGUCACCACCCUGACGUCAUGUGACGUUAACCCUAUGGUCCCUGGGAACCUGCCGUUGAUGAGAUGAGUAACUCAUUCACUUUUUCCCCUUUGCUUAUGCCGCAGACUUCCUGAAGGCACACACAGGACUGGUGAUGCCGUCAAGAGUGUUUUGGGAGAUAAACUGUGAGGAUGGAGCUGAAUUUAGAAAAUAAAGGUGAUUGGAAGAGUGACGUUAAAGUGUCUGGUCCAGGGGCCAGCUUUGGGAUGGAGUGGGUUAAGUCACUUGCCUGCAACAGUGCCGGUGCCCAUAUCACACUGCUAGUUCCAGACGCAGCUGCUCUGCUUCCCAUCUAGCUUCCUGCUAAUAAGCCUGGGAAGGCAGCAGAGGAUACAGAUGAACAAUUAGUCAAGGAGGCACCAAGGGCAAGAUCUAGAAGGGUCCUGGGCACAGGAGCUUCUGUCCUGGUGGAGUUGGGGAGCACCCUCCACCCCAAACACACCAGGACACGGUGCACUUGACAACUCCAAAGCUCUCCAAACCUUGUGUGUCGAGAGUUUCUACAGAGCCUGACCUCCAGCCCUGGCCCGGCCCCUGAUCGGAGGUUGGUAGAGGGAGGCAGACUGUCAGAUCCUUUAGGCACUUGCUGGUCUUUGUCCCCAUCUGGAGGCUGUCCAGGCGCCCCACCUUGAUCACCUCGUUAGCAUAGACUUUGGGCAUUGUAAAUAUCAAAAGUCACUCCUGUCACUCAGGAAGUUCCCAGGGUUUGAGGAGACAGACCAACUAUUUCUUAUCAUCCAUAUCAGUGUGCCUGGAUCAAGUGUACUCGCAGCUUCCUGCUAAUGUGUACUCGCAGCUUCCUGCUAAUGUGCGCCCUGGGAGGCAGCAGAUGAUGGCUCACGUCCUGGGUCCCAGGAAGAAGUUCCCAGCUCUUGGCUUCCAGACCUGGCACAGCCUUGGCUCAGCCCUGGCCGCUGCAGCCAUCUGCGGAGUGAACCAGUGGAUAGAAGGUCGUGCUCUCUGUCUCUCCUCCUCCGUUCUUUCUGUUGCUUUGCAUUUCAAAUAAAUAACUAUGAAAAAAAAAAAGAAAUUUGUCUUUAGAUUGGUCAUAUCAAGGUGUCUGUGAUAAUGUUAUUUUCAGUGCAAACUGACAUUGUACUGACAUGUACCCUGGGACCUGGAGCAUUUUCUCCCAGAUAAAAAAGCAUGUCAGAGUACAGGUGACUUCCAGUAAUGCAUUUUUUUUUUUUUUGACAGGCAGAGUGGACAGUGAGAGAGAGACAGAGAGAAAGGUCUUCCUUUUGCUAUUGGUUCACCCUCUAAUGGCCACCGUGGCUAGCAUGUUGAGGCUGGCGCGCCGCGCUGAUCUGAAGCCAGGAGCCAGGUGCUUCUCCUGGUCUCCCAUGCGGGUGCAGGGCCCAAGGACUUGGGCCAUCCUCCACUGCACUCCCGGGCCACAGCAGAGAGCUGGACUGGAAGAGGGCAACCGGGACUAGAACCGGCAUCCAUAUGGGAUGCCGUCACCGCAGGUGGAGGAUUAACCAAGUGAGCCCCUCCAAUAAUUCAUUAAUACAUAUAUACAGUGUGUGCCAUCAUCACAUAUAUAAAUGCACAUGUGUGUGUAUUGGUCUGUCCAUCUUAAAAAAUUUAUUUAUUUGAAAGUCAGAGUUACACAGAGAGAAGGAAAGGCAGAGAGAGAGAGAGAGAGAGAUCGAUCGAUUGAUUGAUUGAUCUUCCAUCUGCUGGUUCAAUCCCCAAAUGGCUGCAACAGCCAGAGCUGGGCUGAUCUGAAGCCAGGAGCCAGGGGCUUCUCUGGGUCUCCCACAUGGGUGCAAGGGCACAAGGACUUGGGCCAUCUUCUACUGCUUUCCCAGGCCAUAGCAGAGAGCUCGAUCGGAAGUGGAGCAGCUGGGACUUGAACCGGCACCCAUAUGGGAUGCCUGCACUGCAGGUGGAGGCUUUACCCACUCCGCCACAGUGCAGGCCCAGAUCCUAUUUUCAAUGAGCUGUUCAAAGUGCCACUCUUGGGUUCAAAACGUGUUUACUGGGAUGCUCUCUCCCCUGUCUUGACUCGGGGUACUGGGGUGCUGCUUCCUGGAGGAGCAUCCCUCACAUCCUUCCUAGCCCUCCCUGUUUCCUCUGUGGGCCGGCAGCCAACACCAAGACUGUGCGUGAAUGAUGAGCGUGGUGAUUUCAUAGCAUCCUGGGCACUGCACGACCCUGAGGUGGGCACUGGGGCUCUGCUCGGGUCCUUCUCGUCUUUCCGGUCCUCCUGCCCUGGACGGGGUGAAGGAGAUCCUUUGCAAGAAGCAUGUUCUCAUGGGAAGGUCAUGACCACUGGAAAGCUCAGCUUCAGUUUCUGAAACAGUAAAUUAAUUGGUUAACCACAAGCCAGUGAAGAAAUGUUUCAGUUUAAAGCUGCUCAACCUAUUCAAAGCAGAACUGGCCCUGAGUAUUUUUUUCUGUAACCACAGAAUUGUUACAUCAAAGGUUUUCAACUCAGACCUACACUUAUAUUUGAUUUGAGCUCUUGACAUCAACUGUCAUAGUUGAAAUACUUUUUGUAACAUUCUACACACUUAGCACUGAUGCUAAUUUGGUAGAUAACAGAAUUAUUUCAAGAUCUUAGAAAUGGCUGCCAGUGUUUAUAAAUAUCAUUGCAAAUACACUGUCUUUAUGGUAUAGGUUGAUAAACCCCAUUGUGGACUGGAUUCACCGAGAACUGGGGCAGGGACUUGGUGCAACCAUUUUUCUGGUGGACUGUGUACUUGCUUAGGCCAAGAGUCAUAAUCCAUUCAACUUUUGUGCUUGGCGAAGUACUGAGAGUACUGCCUAGGGGCUGGUGUUGUGGCAUAGUGGGUAAAGCUGCCACCUGUGAUGCUGGUAUCCCAUAUGGGGGCUGCUGGUUUGUGUUCUGGCUGCUCCGUUUCUGAUCCAGCUCCCUGAUGAUGGCUUGGGAAAGCAGCGAAGAUGGCCCAAGUGCUUGGGCCCCUGCACCCACUUGGGAGACCCGGAAGAAGCUCCUGGCUCCUGGCUUUGGCUUGGCCCAGCCCUGGCUGUUGUGGCCAUCUGGGGAGUGAACCAGCAGAUGGGAGAUCUCUCUGUCUCUUGCUCUUUCUGUGUAGCUCUGACUUUCAAACAAAUAGAUAUAUCUUAAACAAACAAACUUCCUACACUUAGUAGGUACUCACUCAGUAGGUGUUUGCUGAAUGAAUGCAUAGAGAGGUCAUUCUCCCUAUACUCAAACACCUGAGUGCAGGAGCUGUAUGUUCCAACUAGACAGUGGACUGUCUGAAGGUUUGUCCUGCAAUCUACCAUGGUCUCCCCAUUGUGUCCAUGAACCUUGGAGCCAAUUCUGAUCCCUUUUAAAUGACGUGAUCCUCAGUCCCUGAAGACAUCUAAGUGUUAAGAAUUUUCUGGGGGCCAGCACUGUGGUGUAGCAGGUAAAGCUACUGCCUGUAGUAUCAGUGGCCCAUAUGGGCAUGGGUUCAAGUCCUGGCUGCUUCACUUCUGUUCCAGCUUUCUGCUAAUGGUCUGGGAAAGCAGCAGAGGAUAAACCAAGUGCUUAGGCCCCUGUUCCCACAUGGGAGACCUGGAAGAAGCUCCUGGCUCCUGGCUUCAGAUUAGCUCAGCUCUGGCUGUUGUGGCCAUUUGGAGAGUGAACCAGUGGAUGGAAGAUCGAUCUCUCUUUCUCUCUGCCUCUGCCUUUCUGUAAUUCUGCCCUUCAAAUAAAUAGAUAAAUCUUUAAAAAAAUUUUUCUGGGGGCCGGUGUUAUGGUACAGUGGGUAAAGCCACAGCCUGCAAUGCUGACAUCCCCUACGGGUACCGGCUAGUGUCUCAGCUGCUCUGCUUCCAAUCCAGCUUCCUACUGGUGGCCUGGGAAGAGCAGCAGAAGAUGACCCAAGUACUUGGGACCCUGCCAUCCAUAUGGAAGACCAGGAAGAAGCUCCUGGCUUCAGCUUGCCUAGAGCUGGCUGGGGAGUGAAUCAGCAGAUGGAAGAUCUCUCUCUCUCUUUCUGUCUCUUUCCCUUUUUCUCUGUAACUCUGACUUCCAAAUAAAAAAAAACUUAAAAAAUUUUCUGAAAUGUAGGUUGUCUGGAUUAGAACUUGACUUUCAGGCACAUAGCAAAGUCAUCAUUUAUCUACUACAACUUUAACAGUUGUUGGGAAACAAGUAGUUUUCAACAAUCCAGGUUAUUUUUUCCUUAUUAAUUUGAAAGGCAGAGCAACAGAGAGGGAGAGAUCUUCCAUCCGCCGAUUCACUCCCUAAAAUGGCUGCAAUGGCCUGGGCUGGGCCAGGCUGAAGCCAGGAGCCUGGAGCUCCAUCCUGGUCUCCCACGUGGGUGACAGAGAACCAAGUACUUGGACCACGUUCUGCUGCUUUUCCAGGCACAACAGCAGGGUGUUGGGUUGGAACUGGAGCAGCCUCCACUGCCCCAGCGCUCAUGCACGAUGCCAGUGUUGCAGGUGGUGGCACCCCCACCCCCACCCCCCACCAUUUCCUUUUCUCUUCCAAGAGCGGGAGCCGUGAGAGCUCCGGGGAUGGCCUGGUCCCUUCCUUCCUGCUCUGAGAAUGGCACGUCCCGGUGGCCUGGGCACCCAGCCCAGCCCAGCCUGGUGCUCUCAGCUCUGCUGCAGGAGCCUUCUCUGAACAGAAGCAGAACACAGGCGUCGGAGCAUCAGCGAGAGAGCACCAGCCAUCACACUGAGCCGGCCUCUGCCCUGCUGGCUGCUCCGAAAUGAGCCUCGAACGUCCCUUACUCCCAUUAGUGGCUUGUUUUAAAACCUAUUCGCGAGGAGAUGCCUUUGUUCCCCUCUUUCUCUGGGCUUCCUGGCCCUGCAUUACUGUGAUACAGGCUUACAUUUUCUGAAGUGUGUGUGCGGGGGAAGCCAGGCACUGCACAUUAAGAGGCCCGGCCUGCUACGGCUAAGUAACCCCAUGGAAGUAUCCUUGUUGUGCAGCGCGUGCGUUCGCAGGACCAUUUUAGUUAUUGCUGUAAUUAGUUCUGAUUCACGUAUUCCACGGAGGACGAGGUUUCCGGAUAGAUUGAAAGUGGCCAGAUGCAGAUGGGCAGAGGGGAUGUGGAUGCAAAUGGCAGGCAGAGCCUGAAGGAGCGAUGAGAGAUGUUUCUAGCUGCCUCAAUUUGUGGCAUUUCUGAUUUUUAUAUGGACAUUAAACUUGGCCAAGCUAAAGUGCCAUUUGCCCUGAGAGAGGAUAAUGUACACUUAUCCCUAUGCUUUCUAAAAAAAAAAAAAAAAUAGACCGAAGCUGCAAGGGGCAUAGAUGUGCAGAGGUACACAGUACUGUCUGCAUUGUAGGGCCCAUGGACGGGGAAAGAAGAGGCCUAUUUGCCUGCCUAGUUAGUUCUAGGCGGAAUUCGUUCCACCCUUGGCUGAAGAUUUUGGAUCUGGGAGAGACUCAAGAGCUUAGUCUUUCUUAAAUCGCAUGAAUGCCAAUUGAUACAGAUGAGUCAGCAGAAUAUUUACUGUGGGUCAGGGGCUCUGCAAGGCAUUAAGAAUGUAGAGAUAAAUCAGACAGAGUGCCCCCUCCCUCUGGGAUCUCACAGUCUAGAGGAGACGGGACGAAAAGGCCCCCUGUGGCAUUUGGCGUACGUCCCGUGGAGUUCAGAGGGACACUGUGCUGCCUGGGGCAGGGUUCUGGGAGGUUAGGAGAGGUGUCGGAGUUAAUGGCCUCUUGAGUUGACGCUUGAAUGAUGCCAGAGACGCUCUAGGCCAAGGGGACGCAAGGCGCAGGCAGUAUUCCCGGGAGCCGGACUCUGGGGUUCAAAGGGCUGCUGAUGUCCGAAGGCACUUGGCUAGGGCUUGAGGGAGUGAGCAGCAGCUGGGACUGAGAAAGGAGGUGAAAACUAGAUAUUGAAGGACAUGACAUUAAAUUAGGGAGUUUGGGGACUGGGACUGGCAUGGUAGUGCAGCGGGUUAAGCCGCCAUGUAUGACACCAGUAUCCCAUAUCUGAGCGCUGGUUUGAGUGCUGGGCUGCUCUGCGUCUGACCUAGCUCCCUAAAGUAGGGGAAGAUGGCCCGAGUGCUUGGGCCCCUGCUCCUUUAUGUUGGAGACCUGGAUGGAGAUCUGAGUUCCUGGCUUCCAUCCAAUCCCGACCAUUGAGGCCGUUUGGGGAAACCAGUGGAUGAAUGAUCUUUCUCUUUCUCUCUCUGUAUUCCCCCUCCGAUCUCUCUCUCUCUCUCUCUCUCUCUCUCUCUCUGUAUUCCCCCUCCCGAUCUCUCUCUCUCUCUCUGUAACCCCCCUCCCCACCCCCGUCACUGUGCCUUUCAAGUAAAUAAAUAGACUUUAAGGAGAAGCAUGGGGGAGGGUGCCGUGGCACAGUGGGCUAAGCCUCUGCCUGAAGCGCCAGCAUCCCAUGUGGACUCCAGUUCUGGUCCAGCUGCUCCUCUUCCAGUCCAGCUCUCUGUUAUGGCCUGGGAAAGCAGUAGAAGAUGGCCCAAGUGCUUGGGCCCCUGCACCUGCGUGGGAGACCUGGAAGAAGCUCCUGGCUUCGGAUGGGCCCAGCUCCAGCCAUUGUGGCCAUCUGGGGAGUGACCCAGCCACAGAAAUGGAAUCCUGCAGUGUGUAGCUUUUCAUGUUGUUUGGAUGGCACCUGUGUCUGCAUUUUGAUCAGUUUGUUUUUUUUUUUUUUUAAGAUUUCUUUUUAUUUAUUUGAAAGAGUUACAGAGAGAGGUAGAGACAGAGAGAGAGGUCUUCCAUCCACUGGUUCACUCCCCAGAUGGCCACAACGGCCAGAGCUGCACCGAUCCAAAGCCAGGAGCCAGGAGCUUCUUCCAGGUCUCCCACGUGGGUGAAGGGUUCAAGGACUUGAGCCAUCUUCUACUGCUAUCCCAGGCCACAGCAGAGAGUUGGAUUGGAAGUGAAGCAGCCGGGACUAGAACCAGCGCCCAUAUGGGAUGGCGGUGCUUCAGGCCAGGGCUUUUACCCGCUGCACCGCAGCGCCGGCCCGUUUGUUACUUUUUAUUACUAGAGAGUAUUCCUCUUCUUCACACAUAUCACAGUGUGUUUGUUCUCUAGUUAAUAGACAUUUGGGUUGUUUCCGGUUUUUAGCUGUUAGGAACAAAGCUGUGUUCAUUCAUAGAAUUCUCUGGGUGUUCACAUUUACUUUAUGUAUUUGGUCUAUGAAUUAACCCAAAUAGUAAUGUAGAAUUUGAUUCUGAGCUGUAAGUACUCCUGGAGCGCCUCCUAUAAGUAAAUGUAAAGUUUCCUGGAGGGACUCACGUCAAUCCAAGCCACACAGGAAUUCUAGAAAUAACAAAGUCAGAGCCACCAAAGUGAAAAUUCACUGGGCAAAUGAAAAAGCAGUUACACUCCCCGGACUUUAAAAAAUGAAAUUAUCAGGUAGAAACAAUAAAGAAUUUUUGAAAAGAUUAAAUUUGUAAAGUAAAUUCUGACAAAUAUAAAAAAGAGGGCCUGGCAUGGUGGUGUUAACUGUUCACACUGAUGUGUGUGACCUCUGGUGAAUACGGGGGUGCCGGUUCAAGUCCUGGCUGCUGCUCCAGCUUCCUGCACAUGUGCCUGGGAAGGCAGCAGAGAGGUGACACGAGUGCUGUGUCCCUGUGUCCCUGCCCUCAUGUGGGAGACCUAGAGAGCGUCCUGCCUCCUGGCUUUGGCCUGGGCCACCUGGCUGUUGUGGCCAUUUGGGGAGUGAAGCAGCAAAUGGAAGAUCUCUCUCUCUCUCUCUCCCCUGCCCUUCAAAUAAAUAAAAAAUGUUCUAGAAGUAGAAUAGGUUACACUGAGAAAAGAACAGAUACAUAAAGAAAAACAGGAAUGAAAAAUAGAGUCAGUGGAAUACAAGACUCAAUGAAUGUGUUAAAGUAAGAGGUUGACCACAGCCAAGGAGAAGUGCAGUGAACUGGAAGAUACUUCUAAGAACGCUGUACAGAAAAUUUUGUAGUAAACACACACACACACACACACACACACACACGUGCGCGCGCGUUGACUAAUGCAAGCCAAGUUCAGGAGCUAGAAGCAUUUAGGACUACAAUUCUGGGCAAGCACAGUGGAUACACUAGGCAGGGUUGUAAAUGGGACGUGUUCACAGAUCUUUGUGCUGUUUGGGGUGGGGGGGCUAGAACUAUGUUUAAGCCAAAUAGAAAUACAGUGACAAUGCCAAUGUUAAAAGGCAGGUGUCGUCUCAUUUCUGCCACGGUAACAGCAGAGCCAAUCCCCCUGUUGUAAGGAAACGCGUGUUCUGAGCACACUGCCGUGUCGGGUAAAGGCCUUGGAGACCUAGCAAGGUAGCAGGGAUAACCGUACCCAUCACACACACACACACACACACACACACACACACACACCCCUCCUUAGAGCUAGGAAAAUGCAGCUCACACGGGGAACAUCGUAAACUGUAUCUGACUGCCUGUGUUCUGGUCCCUGGCUCAGCGCUGGCUCUACAGGCAGCUGGGGAAUGAGCCAGUGAAUGCGAGAGCUCUUUCUGUCCCUGUCCCCCUCUCUAUAUCUGCAUCUCAAGUAAUAAUAAAAAAAUAAAGGCACUCUCUCUCAUAAUCCCGUGCAGUUGUCUGAUUUGGGCACUCUCAUUCCCUCCAUCACGUGCCACUGCUGCGAUGGUUAAUGUGCUCUGUGCUCUGAACUCUUGUGCUGUAAACGUUUCUGAAUUAAUUUCUAAUGAGAUAAAACUCAGAUAAAACUCACACAAGCAGAAGUUCUUUGGAGUCCUAAGUGCUGUUUAAUAAGAGUGUAGAGGCCAGCACCGCGGCUCACUAGGCUAAUCCUCCGCCUUGUCCCCCGGGUUCUAGUCCGGGUCGGGGUGCCGGAUUCUGUCCCGGUUGCCCCUUUUCCAGGCCAGCUCUCUGCUGUGGCCCGGGAGUGCAGUGGAGGAUGGCCCAGGUGCUUGGGCCCUGCACCCCAUGGGAGACCAGGAGAAGCACCUGGCUCCUGCCAUCGGAUCAGCGCGGUGCGCUGGCCAUUGGAAGGUGAACCAACGGUAAAGGAAGUCCUUUCUCUCUGUCUCUCUCUCUCACUGUCCACUCUGCCUGUCAAAAAAAAAAAAAAAAAAAAAAGAGUAUAGAGAUGUCUUCAGUCCAAAGAGUUUACGAGAAGUCCUCUUUCAUGUGCACAGAGAGAAGUGAAAGUGAUGCUCCCUGCAGCAUUGUUUGUGGUUGGGAAAACUUAGGAACUCACUGUCCGUCAGAAGGGAAAAUGAGUAGUCUUGGAUCUCUGAAAAAUGGUGUUGAGGUGUUUUUCAGAGGGAAAGACGUGUGAAAAGGUCAGGUGUAGGAGGAUAGACUAAAAUCCAAGCAAGAAGGAAUCGUAAAGAUGUGAGGAUUUUUUUUUUUUGUUAAAGAUUGAUCUUAUUUGAAAGACAGAGAUAGGAGGGGUUGGGGAGUUGGGGAGACACAGAGAGAGAGAGAGAGAGAGAAAAGGUGGUCUUUUGUCUGCUGGUUUACUCCCCAAAUGGCUGCAAAGGCCAGGGCAGGACCAGGCCAAAGCCAGGAGAUUCUUCUGGGUCUCCCACGUGGGUGCAGGGGCUCAAGCACUUGGGUCAUCUGCUGCUGCUUUCCCAGGUGCAUUCACAGGGAGCUGGAUCGGAAGUGGAGUAACUGGGACUUGAACCAGUGCUCUGUGAUAGGAUGUGGGCAUCCCAAGGAGUGGCUUAGCCUGCUACACUACAACACCAGGCCCCUAAAACAUCAUUGUAAUUAAAAAUAACAUAUGAUUGCUUUAAUAAAAAAUUGGUAGGCAGCACUCCCCUCCGCUCCUGGAACUUCCUUUCUAAGUCUCACAUUGAUUUUUUUUUUAAUAUUUAUUUAUUUGAAAGGCAGAGUUACAGAAAUGCAGAGAGAGAGAGAGAGAGAGGUCUUCUAUCUGCUGGAUCACUCUCCAGAUGGCCACAGUGGCCAGAGCUGGGCCAAUCUGAAGCCAGGAGCCAGGAGCUUCUUCUGGGUCUCCCACGUGGGUGCAGGGGCCCAAGCACUUGGGCCGUCUUCUACUGCUUUCCCAGGUCACAGCAGAGAGCUGGAUAGGAAGUGGAGCAGCCAGGACUCAGACUGGCGCCCAUAUGGGGUGCUGGCAUUGCAGGCGGUGGCUUUACCCGCUACGCCACAGCGCCGGCCCUGUCACCUUGACAUCUUCCUCAGCUCCUGUGGCUGCUCUGAUGCCCACUGCCCAACACUCACUCCCAUUCUGAUCUUGAGUAUGUUCAUGAGGAGUAAUUAAACAUUCCGGAGCACUAGUGCACUGGCUUUUUGACCCCUCCCCCUCCUAUUUUUAGAACCAAACCUGCUUUCAGGAUGCAACUUGGAUUGGCAUUUAGAUGAGUUUGGGGUAAGCAGAUGAUCAAUCACCACUGGGUAAUAGACUUACAUGAUAUUGCUUUGCAAGGUAUACACUCUGAUGUAUGUUAGAUUUAUGGGGAGGGUGGUUGUUUAUGAUACUUUUAAAAUAUUUGUGAUGGCCUAAGGCUUUUUCAGCCAGGCCCCAAAGACAAAGCCAUUAUUUUGCUUAUUUUAUUUUAUUUAUUUAUUUAAACAAUCUAUUGAUCCUUAUACUGAUUAAAUUUGAAUGUUUGGAGUGGCUGCCAGUGGCAGCAGCUCAUGUAAUUUAUUUAUUUAUUUUUAUUUUUUUGACAGGCAGAGUUAGACAGUGAGAGAGAGAAACAGAGAGAAAGGUCUUCCUUUUCCGUUGGUUCACCCCCCAGAUGGCCACUACGGCUGGUGCGUUGCGCCGAUCCGAAGUCAGGAGCCAGGUGCUGCCUCCUGGUCUCCCAUGCAGGUGCAGGGCCCAAGCACUUGGGCCAUCCUCCACUGUACUCCCAGGCCACAGCAGAGAGCUGGACUGGAAGAGGAGCAACCAGGACAAAAUCCGACUCCCCAACAGGGACUAGAACCUGGGGUGCCGCCGCCGCAGGUGGAGGAUUAGCCUAGUGAGCCACGGCUCCGGCCUAUGUAAUUUAUUUUUAUUAUUUAUUUAUUUGAAAUGCAGAGCAACAGAGAGAGAGAGAGAGAAAGAGAGAUUUUUCAUCCACUGGUUCACUCCCCAAAUGGCUGCAAUAUCCAGAGGUGAGCCAGGAGCCCGGAACCCUAUCCUAUGUCCCAUAAGGGGCCCAAGCCCUUGGUCCUUCACCUACUGCCUUCCCAGGCACAUUAGCAGGAAGCUGGAUUGGAAGUGGAGCAGCCAGGGGUGGAACUGGUGCUCCCAGCCUGAGGUGCUGGUGUUCCAGGCUGUGGUUUAACCUGCCGAGCCACAGUACUGACCCUCGUUUAUAUAAUUUAUAAAAAUGAUGCGCACACUCAUCACUGGGCGGCACAGACUUGACUUUACUGUCAGUUUUGUUACUGAAGACUUGGCUUUACCCAGACCUCAGAAACUUGUCUGAAGCUGGAGGGGUGAGAGUGUUCCCUCUGAUGGCUGUGCUGAGUGGAUGUGCAAAGAAAUGCCUGCAUAGUAAGCAUUAACCUGCCCCUUCUUCCCUCUUGUCUACCUUAACCCCACGUCACUGACAUACUUCCUAAUUCCAUGGAGCAAGCAGAAACCCCUGGCUGAGAAUGGCCUCUUUUUCUUGGGACCACUCAUGUGACACCGUCUUGUCGUCCCCUGAGGUGGCCACAGGAGUCGGGGCUGGGCCAGCUGAAGCAGGAGCUAAGAACUCAGCCUGGGUCUCCCAGAGUGCAAGCUCUACGUGGACGAUUCUGCUUUCUCUUUUUCACCUCUCAUGGGAGUUAGCGUGUGGCCAAGUUCAUGGAGAACGUGCCCCGGGUAGCUGGUGGUCUGUGAAGCAAGUGAGGAGGCACUUGGGGCAGACGUGAACCCAACCCACAGUCUGUUGGGCGUGUCAUAGAUGCAGUAUGGAGCAUGGUAUGAGAGGGCCUCCAUCCUACGCUUGGAUCUGUGACUGAGGUUGUCGGGGCAGAAGGCACACACGCUUUCCACUCCACCAGGUAAUGCCGAAUGUUCUCCACAUUCAUUGUGUUCAUCCCGUGCCCUCUGCGGUGAGUGGGAGCCUGGGCCUCCCGUGGUGCCAUGAAGGACUCACACGGAUGUCCUUCUUGGUGGGUGGGUUGUGGAGUACCGCCGUGACCUGUUUCACACUUCAUUACUGCUGUGGCUUCUAUGUGGUCUGUCCACCGCGCAUUCAUGGAGGCCUGGUCCCCCGUGGGCCGUGCUGAAGCAGCGGAGCCUGUAAGAGGUGGGGCCUAGCUGAAGGUGCUUAGGGCUGGGAGAAAGAUCAGAGCUUUGUUCAAAGACUGCAUUCUCGUCCCCAUGGGCGCUUUCGCGAGAGUGAGCCUGGCCCUUGCGCAGUCCCUGACUUCCUGGGUCUGCACGCAGUCUCUUCCGUGUGCUCCCAGCACUGAGAUGCCCUCUGCCGUGAGGCCCUCUCCAGAGCUCGGCAGAUGCUGGCACCUGCCUCUGAGCCUCCAGGACUGUGAGCAAAGCAAACCCCUUUUCAUUAUAAAGCACCCAGCCUCAGGUGUCUUGUUACAGCAACACAGAAUGGACUAAGAAAACCAUGAAUGGUGGAAGCAUCCUUUUACUACGAUUGCAUAGUAUUUUUUGGUCAGAUAUCCAUUCAAAUAUUUUUGUUACUUUUUUAUUGGAUUUAUUAUCUUUGUUCAUUAAUUUGCAGGAUUUCUUAAAUAUUCCAAACCUUUGUUACAGGUGUUGCAAACACAUUUUUCCAUUUGUGGCUUUUGUUUUUAAACUUUAUGGUGUCUUAGUGAUAAACACAAUUCUGCUUUUUUUUUCUUCAUUUCAACAAAUAUUUUCUGAGCACCUAAUAUGGGUAGAAAUAUUUUUGGCAUCAGGGAUAAAUGAGUAAGCAAAAUGGACCCAUCCCCUGCCCUCAGAAAUUCUGUAUUCUAGUAGGAUAAGACAAGCAAUAAAAAUAAGUAAAACUAAGGAAAAGAGUUUGAAAUCCAUGCUACAAGGCGUCUUCAAAAGUUCAUAGGCAAAAUAUAUAUGAAAAAAUUAUGGGGCUGGCAUUGUGGCACAGUGGGUCAGGAUGCUGCCCGUGAUGCCAGCAUCCCAUCUGGGUGCCAGUUUGAGUCCCGGCUGCUCCACUUUCAAUUCAGCUCCCUGCUAAUACACCUGGGAAAGCAGUGGAGGAUGGGCCCAAGUGUUUGGGCCCCUACACCCAAUGGGAGACCCAAAUGAAGCUCCUGGCUCCUGGCUUCGACCUGGCCAAGCCCUGGCUAUUGUUGCCAUUUAGGGAGUGAACCAGUGGAUGGAAGAUCUUGUCUCUGCCUCUAUCUCUGUAACUCUGCCUUUCAAAUAAAUAAAUAAAUCUUUUAAAAAGAAAGAAAAAAAUAUGCAUGCAUUUAAAAAUUUUUACCCCAAAAUAAGUGCAUCAUUUUUUGGAGGAUAUUAUCAUGAGCUUUGCCCAAACUCUUUUUAAAAAUUAAGUAAUCAAAGGCCAGCACUGUGGUGCAGCAGGUAAAUCCACCGCUUGCAGUGCCGGCAUCCCAUAUGGGCGCCAGUUCGAGACCCGGCUGCUCCACUUCCAAUCCAGCUCUGCUGUAGCCUGGGAAAGCAGUAGAGGAUGGCCCAACUGCUUGGGCCCCUAUACCAGUGUGGGAGACCCGGAAGAAGCUGCUGGUUCCUGCCUUCAAAUCAGUGAAGCUCUGGCUGUUACAGCCAUCUAGGGAGUGAACCAGCAGAUGGAAGACCCCUCUCUCUCUCUGCCUCUGCCUCUCUGUACCUCUCUUUUUCAAAUAAAUUAAUUAUAUCUUUAAAAAAUUUAUUUUCACUUCAUUUGAAAGGCAGAGAUCAAUAGAGACGGAUCCAUCUGCUGAUUCAUUCCCCAAAUGUCUGCGACAGCCUGGCUGGGCCAGUCUGAAAUCAGGGGCUGGGAACUGCAUCCAGGUCUCCCGCGUGGGUGGCAGGGGCCCAAGCACAUUGGCCGUCACCUCCCUGAACGUGCAUUUGCUGAGUGCUGGUUGGAACCGGACACUCACCUGUGGGAUGCCAGCAACCCCAGCAGUGCCGUAACCACUGCCCCAAAUGAGUACCUCAAAACUCCUCUCCUCUCUUCCGCAGGCUUGUCGUAGUCCUCUCAAAGGGCUGAGAUUUUCAGUCUAGGAAGUUGCAACAGUGGCACUAGUGUGAAACAUAGCCUUGGCAGUUCUUAAUAAAAUGCGAUUUUCACAUUUUCUUCGUGUGAACAAUUUCUAAGCUUCUAGCUAUAUAGACUUGUAGCUUACAUGGUUUAGCUAAAUCAUUUUGAUUUUUCUUGUUUAAAGCCUCUUUGUGUCCCCCCCCUUAAUUGUUUGAUGAAAAAACUGUGUGCUCAUUCAUUGACUUUUUUUUUUUUUUAUUUUUUGACAGGCAGAGU